UCUAGCAUAAACAGUAUUAGAGGCACUGCCUGCCCAGUGACACAUGUUAAACGGCCGCGGUAUCCUGACCGUGCAAAGGUAGCAUAAUCAUUUGUUCCUUAAAUAGGGACUUGCAUGAAUGGCUAAACGAGGGUUUAUCUGUCUCUUACUUUCAAUCAGUGAAAUUGACCUUCCCGUGAAGAGGCGGGAAUAUACAAAUAAGACGAGAAGACCCUGUGGAGCUUAAAUUCACCAGCCCAAGUACUAUCUCACAUACAACUCUACAAGAGACAAAACCACUACCCAUGGGCUAAAAAUUUUGGUUGGGGUGACCUCGGAGCACAACUAAACCUCCGAAUGAUUUUAAUCCAGACCACGACCUGUCUAAAUUUUAACUCAUAAAUUGACCCAAACUAUUGAUCAACGGAACAAGUUACCCCAGGGAUAACAGCGCAAUCCUACCCGAGAGUCCAUAUCGACAGUAGGGUUUACGACCUCGAUGUUGGAUCAGGACAUCCAAAUGGUGCAACCGCUAUUAAUGGUUCGUUUGUUCAACGAUUAAAGUC
rnacentral:rRNA from 1 species